UACAGAGGUGCCCGAGCGUUGUUCGGAUUCAUUGGGCGUAAAGGGGUGCGUAGGCGGCAUGGCAAGUCGGGUGUGAAAUCCCGGGGCUCAACCCCGGAACUGCACUCGAUACUGUCGUGCUAGAGUGUUGGAGAGGAGACUGGAAUUUACGGUGUAGCAGUGAAAUGCGUAGAUAUCGUAAGGAAGACCGGUGGCGAAAGCUAGUCUCUGGACAACUACUGACGCUGAGGCACGAAGGCUAGGGGAGCAAACGGG
rnacentral:rRNA from 1 species